CAAUGCUGAAACAUCAAAGCCAACAGCAAACCCGACCAUAUCAAAGGAAAAAAAAUAUGCCACACACACUGAGUACCUUUACGAUGUGGUCCAGAAUUCCAUAACGUCAGAAAAUCGCCCUGACCAAUCUCGCUUCCAUUUUCUCCAGAGAGCCCUUCCCAGAUCUUAGAGGAAAUUGCGGCCUCAGUGAGCAUCCUUGAUUGCAUACGUUCUUCAAACUCGGAAAAUAUUGGGAAAUAUUGCCAUGAGCAGCUACUAAGCUAUCUGAAACAGAC